AUGGUGUUGCCAAAAUGUCGCUUUCUAACAAGCUGACUUUGAACAAGCUGGACAUGAAGGGGAAGCGGGUCGUGAUGAGGGUGGACUUCAACGUUCCUAUGAAGAACAACCAGAUAACAAAUAACCAAAGGAUUAAGGCUACUGUUCCAAGCAUCAAAUUCUGCUUGGACAAUGGAGCCAAGUCAGUUGUCCUUAUGAGCCACCUGGGCCGGCCUGAUGGUGUUCCCAUGCCUGACAAGUCCUCCUUAGAGCCAGUUGCUGCCGAACUCAGAUCUCUCCUGGGCAAGGAUGUUCUGUUCUUGAAGGAUUGUGUGGGCCCAGAAGUCGAGAAUGCCUGUGCCAACCCAGCGGCUGGGACUGUCAUCCUGCUGGAGAACCUCCGCUUUCAUGUAGAGGAAGAAGGGAAAGGAAAAGAUGCCUCUGGGAACAAGGUUAAAGCUGAGCCAGCCAAAAUUGAUGCUUUCCAAGCCUCAAUGUCCAAACUAGGAGAUGUCUAUGUCAAUGAUGCUUUUGGGACUGCACACCGAGCCCACAGCUCCAUGGUGGGUGUGAACCUGCCACAGAAGGCUGGUGGAUUUUUGAUGAAGAAGGAGCUGAACUACUUUGCCAAGGCUUUGGAGAGCCCAGAGAGAACCUUCCUGGCUAUCUUGAGAGGAGCUAAAGUCGCAGACAAGAUCCAGCUGAUCAAUAAUAUGCUAGAUAAAGUCAAUGAGAUGAUC